GACGAACCGUCCAAACGUUGUUCGGAAUUACUGGGCGUAAAGGGCGCGUAGGCGGCCUGUUAAGUCGAACGUGAAAUCCCCGGGCUCAACCCGGGAACUGCGUCCGAAACUGGCAGGCUCGAAUUCGGGAGAGGGAUGCGGAAUUCCAGGUGUAGCGGUGAAAUGCGUAGAUAUCUGGAGGAACAUCGGUGGCGAAGGCGGCAUCCUGGACCGAUAUUGACGCUGAGGCGCGAAAGCCAGGGGAGCAAACGGG
rnacentral:rRNA from 1 species